rnacentral:lncRNA from 1 species
UGUCCUGGGGGAUGUUCUCUGAGCUUUGCUCAGAUAAAGGCCUGGGGCAGCAUGAGCAUUUAGGAUGUUCAGCAGCUGUGGCUGGCCAAGUCAUAGAUGAUUUGAAAAUGCAGCCGUCUGAGAGGUGGUAUGAACUGAUUUCACUGGAACUGUCCAGAUUUGCAUCAGUUUAAAGAUCUAAUCCUUAGCUAUAUGACUCUGAGGGUGCUCCACUCUGGUUGUUGAAGAGACAGGCCAUUUCAGGACACCUCUGCAUCCUUC